rnacentral:rRNA from 1 species
CCUACGGGAGGCAGCAGUGGGGAAUUUUGGACAAUGGGCGAAAGCCUGAUCCAGCAAUGCCGCGUGCAGGAAGAAGGCCUUCGGGUUGUAAACUGCUUUUGUACGGAGCGAAAAGGUUUCCUCUAAUACGGGGAGCUCAUGACGGUACCGUAAGAAUAAGCACCGGCUAACUACGUGCCAGCAGCCGCGGUAAUACGUAGGGUGCGAGCGUUAAUCGGAAUUACUGGGCGUAAAGCGUGCGCAGGCGGUUUUGUAAGACAGGCGUGAAAUCCCCGGGCUCAACCUGGGAAUGGCGCUUGUGACUGCAAAGCUGGAGUGCGGCAGAGGGGGAUGGAAUUCCGCGUGUAGCAGUGAAAUGCGUAGAUAUGCGGAGGAACACCGAUGGCGAAGGCAAUCCCCUGGGCCUGAACUGACGCUCAUGCACGAAAGCGUGGGGAGCAAACAGGAUUAGAUACCCUGGUAGUCCACGCCCUAAACGAUGUCAACCGGUUGUUGGGUAUUUACUUACUCAGUAACGAAGCUAACGNGUGAAGUUGACCGCGNGGAGGUACGGCGCGAGUAGUAACGUACGAAGAGAAGUAGACGGCGUGAGACGUGCCGACGGACGACGACGAGGGAGGAGG